AAUGAACGCUGGCGGCGUGCAUAACACAUGCAAGUCGAACGAGAAACCCCGGCUUGCCGGGGGAGUAAAGUGGCGCACGGGUGAGUAACGCGUGGGUAACCUGCCCUUGAAUCUGGAAUAACUCGCCGAAAGGCGGACUAAUACCGGAUGCCGUCCCGGGGACUGAUGUUCUCGGGAUGAAAGGUGACCUCUUCACGAAAGUUGCCGUUCAGGGAGGGGCCCGCGUACCAUUAGCUAGUUGGUAGGGUAAUGGCCUACCAAGGCGACGAUGGUUAGCUGGUCUGAGAGGAUGAUCAGCCACACUGGAACUGAAAUACGGUCCAGACACCUACGGGUGGCUG
rnacentral:rRNA from 1 species